CUGGGGACUCCCGGCCGGGGGGAAUCAGAGAAGGCAAAUAUUCAACAAGCCCUAGAUCUCAAGAACACAGGGCGCUGUGGAAGUAAAGGACCUGGAGUCUUCUAAAGUGACAGUUGUCAUGACCCUGAGGAGGGAACCAUACCAAGGAGAUCGCUGUCUUGGGUGCUCACCUUCCACAUCAUUCUUCUUAAUACUACAGCGAACAACUCUGUCCAAACUUGUCAGACCAACACUCGGGGUUUCAGGACAGGUAAUUGCUGAAAUGAAUGGAAGACCUUCUACUCCACCUCUAGGAAAAUUUCCUUUAUGAAAAUUUUAGGUGAG
rnacentral:lncRNA from 1 species